CGAUCAACUUUGAUUCCUUCAUUUAACACGGGACUUUCGCUUCUCUUUAUAUGUGUUCUGUGCUAGACCGAUCUCGAUUGAGUUUGCCGUUCACUUUAGCAUCUCUUUAAAAGUUUUGCAGAUAAAAGAAAACAGGAUACGGUACGAAAAUGGAUAGGUGGGAACGUUUCAUGAAAUAUAUUCUGUUCAUUGUAAACGUUGUCAUCCUCAUUUUCGCAACUCUCGUAAUUAUUGCUAGCUUGAUCGGUUUUGCCAACCCAUCAUGGUUUAAGGAAGAAGAAGAAAAAGAAAAAGAAGAAAACAAUAAUUUUACCUACAUACCGAUUAUCAUUGAACUAAUCGUCGAAAUCCUAAUGAUGUCUGUCGCCAUCUUGGGAAUCGUUGCUGCCAAGCGAAAAUCCAAGUGUACGCUCCUAACAUACGCCAUAAUCGCCAUAGUCCUAUUUGUAUUGAUUGUGAUUGGAAUGAUUAGCAAUCAAUCGCAAGAUUCUAUUGAAAUUGCAAUUGAUGUUACAUUCUUGUGUCUUCUGGUCUUGGGAAAAAUAUCCGCCUUUGUGCUCUACAGAUCACAAAGAUCAAAUAAUAAUCCAGCAGCAAAAUAUUAAGAUGAUAUGGGAUAAAGUGGAACGUGGGCUAAAGUGGGCAAACACCGUCAAAAUUUCUAUGUAGUAGCAUAACAUGGGGCACUAGAACGCGGAGCAAAAUGGUGCAUAGAUGCACCGUAGUACUAUGCGCCGUGGUCACUGUGACAGAAGGCAGUAAAGUUGGUAACUGUUAAGACGAGCUUAUAUAAAAGAGCUUAUAUAAAGCUUACAUUAAACCAAAAUUAGAACUUAAGAUUUAAGAAUGAAAAUAAAACAUUUAUAUUUACAUGGGAGUUUUAAAAGGAAAUUGCUGUAUUAAUCCAAAAAGAAAAUUUUAAUACCAAUAAUAAUAAUAAUAAUAAUAAUAGUAAUAUUAUUGGGAGCAAGGAGUUGGGACAUGAACGGCUGUGAUUGCUUAUUAGCGAAUGAUUUCUAGUGAGUUGAAUAGAAAAUUGAAUAAAAACCGAAAAAAAGUGAAAAACUUAUGGUAGCAGAGAAGUGACGUUUUCUGAUCUUUGGAAAUUGUUGAUGGAGAACGAUCUUGAAACUAAACAGUCUGCAUCUCGCGCACAGAUUCUAAGUUCAAAACGAUUUUACAAUGACGCGCACAGCUUUGGCUCUAGACUAAAACUAAGAAUAAGAAUCUUGGAUCUUGAAUCUUGAAAAAUGGUAAUGAUAAUGAAGACGAACCGUCAGAAAGUUGUACAUGUUAUAGAGCUUAGGAAAGGACGUGGAGACAAUCAAGUGGGUGAGAUGGAUAUUUGAUUGGAUGAAACUUUUUGAGAUUUUUCUAAUCCUUCAUAAAUUAUUUGCUGUUGAAAUUUUGGAAAGUUUGCUCGUUGGAUAUUUCACCAACGCUAACUACCAAUCAUCUUUUCGGAUAAUCUCUCGUUGGCUAAUUUUCCAUCUUCUUCUGGUUUUUCUUAAUUUUUAGAGGAACGGACGGUCGUCCAAUCGCUUAAGGGAUUUGUUAUCUACGAUUUCCCUCUCUCUGGAACGAUCGAUGCCGAUUUCUUAUAUUACCGCGUCCGUUUAUUUAGGAUUCAUUUUUCAUAUAAAUUAUCUUUCGGUUCGUGAUGAAACAUGCGUUUGAACGAACAAAACCGAAGUUAUAGAUUUUACAGUUUUAUAGUUUCCGUCCGGCGUCGCAACUCAAUGUUGUCGUUCGCUGUCGCCAGACUUAAAUAUCAUUUCUGUUUUUCCUUUCCGUUCCGGCUUUGUUCGUUCUUAUGAAUUACUAUGUUAGGGUGAGCAAAUAUUGCUCGUAAUUUCGUCAUCGCACGAUUUUCUCUUUGUGCUUCUAUUUAGCCGACUUAUUGCUCCGGACGCGAUAUUUGAGUAUGAUAUCUUUCGAUUUUUUUUCUUAUAAUAAACAAGGAACGGCGUUAUUGUAAAGAGGAAAAUCAAGGGAGCCUUUGGUGAUUUGAUGAUUGAGUGUUAUAAAUUUUAAGGACAAUUUCCUCGCUUAUUUCAUAUAUGCGAAAAGGGAAAUCCUCCGGAUGUAACAUAUUUGUUUUCAUACGUUUUCUGUACAAUGUGUAAAUACAUACGUUAUGUUUUGUGUUAAAUUUUAUUAGAAAUAUGAUCAUAGAUGGUACACAAAUGUAAUUUUAAUAACAGUAAUAUAAUGUAUUGGGGAAAAGUAUUAUUAAUAAACAAUUAUUA